GACGGAGGAUGCAAGCGUUAUCCGGAAUGAUUGGGCGUAAAGCGUCCGCAGGUGGCAGUUCAAGUCUGCUGUCAAAGACCGGGGCUUAACUUCGGAAAGGCAGUGGAAACUGAACAGCUAGAGUAUGGUAGGGGCAGAGGGAAUUCCUGGUGUAGCGGUGAAAUGCGUAGAGAUCAGGAAGAACAUCGGUGGCGAAGGCGCUCUGCUGGACCAUAACUGACACCUCGAGGAACGA
rnacentral:rRNA from 1 species